GCAUAUCAAUAAGCGGAGGAAAAGAAACCAACAGGGAUUGCCCUAGUAACGGCGAGUGAAGCGGCAACAGCUCAAAUUUGAAAUCUGGCUUCGGCCCGAGUUGUAAUUUGCAGAGGAAGCUUUAGGCGCGGCACCUUCUGAGUCCCCUGGAACGGGGCGCCAUAGAGGGUGAGAGCCCCGUAUAGUUGGAUGCCUAGCCUGUGUAAAGCUCCUUCGACGAGUCGAGUAGUUUGGGAAUGCUGCUCAAAAUGGGAGGUAAAUUUCUUCUAAAGCUAAAUACCGGCCAGAGACCGAUAGCGCACAAGUAGAGUGAUCGAAAGAUGAAAAGCACUUUGAAAAGAGGGUUAAAUAGCACGUGAAAUUGUUGAAAGGGAAGCGCUUGUGACCAGACUUGCGCCGGGCAGAUCAUCCGGUGUUCUCACCGGUGCACUCUGCCCGGCACAGGCCAGCAUCGGUUCUCGCGGGGGGAUAAAGGCCCUGGGAACGUAGCUCCUCCGGGAGUGUUAUAGCCCGGGGCGUAAUGCCCUCGCGGGGACCGAGGUUCGCGCAUCUGCAAGGAUG
rnacentral:rRNA from 1 species